rnacentral:lncRNA from 1 species
UAAUAUAUUACAAAAAUUAUAUACAUAUUACACAAAAAAAUAAAUACGCGGUGGGUCCAUGCAGGUUUUAGUGGCAUGCUUGGGCAACAAAUUUGAAGUCAGUUGUCCAAAUCUCGAUUUGCCGAUGGGAGUCGGAGGAAAAUGUGCAAGUGUUAAUGUGUGUGUACAUGUGCAAGGCAGCCGCCUUGUCAGCAAACAUGUCUCCAUGUCCCCUUCCGUCAAAACUCCAUGCUUGUUCACACCGUGACUCUGAAUACUCUCAUGGAAAAUAUUUGCAACGCAAAGUCAAAACCCGUAAUUCAUUAUUUGUAUACAUAUUCAGAUGUUUAUAUCCGUUACCCCUUUCAUCCUAAAUUAUAUAAUACUAUUUGGUUGGUGGCAGAGGCCUGGGACUCCGAGACGCCCAUUGAGCGGUGACGUUUCGUUUGUAGGAAGUUGAGAGUCUACUAUACUAUUUGGUUAGUGUUUGUACGCACAAAAUAUUCUUAUCGGUUCCAUACGAAUAUCAUCCCUGAUUUUUUUUGCGACCCCUUUCUUUCGAUCUGAGUGCUAGGCUUCAGGAAGGAAAUGUGUUGCUGCAUAUAAACUUGAUAUACAUCAAGCCAUUAAACAUAUCAGAUCCGUUUUUUUCAUUUCAAACUCACAACACACCUAAAUUCCUGUCUGAAUCAAGAACAUUGUAAAAAAAAUGCAUUAAAGUUGAUCAAUUUUCCACUUUUUUUCAAUUUUAACUUGAUGAAAAAAUUCGAAAUUUAAAAUCUUCUUUAAAGUCUUAAUUUAACAAGUUUUUGCUUGUUUCCUUUCUUGUUUCUUCUUUCUGCAGACAGAAGAUUUCAUUUGCUAUUCUUUAUUUCAGCCUAGUACUCAGAUCGAAAAAAAAGUUCUCAAGCUCGUUCGCCCCCGACACUUCGGUUCAGCUCCAUACCUAAAUCGUUGACACGAUAAAAGCAGCUGGAUCGAGAGUGAGAAGGGCUUGGAGAAAAAGUUGAGCGACUUAAGUGUCGAUCAACUGUACACAUAUGUAUGUAUAAUACCUAAUAUGAUGUACAUUUAUAUUUAAAUAAACUAUUGUUCACAGGAGACGAACAAGAAUAAUAAAGAGAACAGCGUCUUUGCCACUGAGCAUGUCGUGGAAAAGCUACUGGAAAAGCUCGCCCAUAAAUUGGAGCCUGCACGAAUAAGGCCCGCCUUUUAGUACUGGAAAAUUACUUGGUGAAACUGACAGAGAAGGAAGCUACCGAAGUGGAAAAAAAUGACCACCGUACUUUUUAAAGAGAUCGAGGCCAUACAAAUGGAGAAAUAUAGAGAGGAGAAUAAAUAUAAAUAUUAUGCAUUUUUUAUUUGCUU